rnacentral:lncRNA from 1 species
CCAGAGCUACCUCUCCGACAAUCGGAGUGACAAAUCCUAAUCUCGAAAUACGCCAACCCAACAUCGACCAUUGGAGACACCUGUAGUACUCCUUUAUAAUCACCCAGUUACGUUGUGACGUUUGGUAGUACCCAAAGUGUUCCUCCGGUAAACGGGAGUUGCAUAAUCUCAUAGUCAUAGGAACAUGUAUAAGUCAUGAAGAAAGCAAUAGCAACAUACUAAACGAUCGGGUGCUAAGCUAAUGGAAUGGGUCAUGUCAAUCAAAUCAUUCUACUAAUGAUGUGACCUCGUUAAUCAAAUAACAACUCAUUGUUCAUGGUUAGGAAACAUAACCAUCUUUGAUUAACGAGCUAGUCAAGUAGAGGCAUACUAGUGACACUUUGUUUGUCUAUGUAUUCACACAUGUAUUAUGUUUCCGGUAAAUACAAUUCUAGCAUGAAUAAUAAACAUUUAUCAUGAUUAUAAGGAAAUAAAUAAUAACUUUAUUAUUGCCUCUAGGGCAUAUUUCCUUCAGUCUCCCACUUGCACUAGAGUCAAUAAUCUAGUUCACAUCGCCAUGUGAUUUAACAGCAAUAGUUCACAUCACCAUGUGAUUAACACCCAUAGUUCACAUCGCUAUGUGACCAACACCCAAAGGGUUUACUAGAUUCAGUAAUCUAGUUCACAUCGCUAUGUGAUUAACACCCAAGGAGUACUAAGGUGUGAUCAUGUUUUGCUUGUGAGAGAAUCUUAGUCAACGGGUCUGCCACAUUCAGAUCCUCAUGUAUUUUGCAGAUUUCUAUGUCAACAAUGCUCUGCAUGGAGCUACUCUAGCUAAUUGCUCCCACUUUCAAUAUGUAUCUAGAUCGAGACUUAGAGUCAUCUAGAUUAGUGUCAAACUUGCAUCGGCGUAACCCUUUAUGACGAACCUUUUUCCAUAAUCGAGAAACAUAUCCUUAUUCCACUAAGGACAAUUUUGACCGCUCUCCAGUGAUCUACUCCUAGAUCACUAUUGUACUCCCUUGCCAAACUCAGUGGUAUGGCAUACAAUAGAUCUGGUAUACAGCAUGGCAUACUUUAUAGAACCUGUGACUGAGGCAUAGGGAAUGACUUUCAUUCUCUUUCUAUUUUCUGCCGUGGUCGGGCUUUGAGUCUUACUCAACUUCACACCUUGCAACACAGGCAAGAACUCCUUCUUUGACUGUUCCAUUUUGAACUAUUUCAAAAAUUUAUCAAGGUAUGUAUUCAUUGAAAAAUCUUAUCAAGCGUCUUCAUCUAUCUAUAUAGAUCUUGAUGCUCAAUGUGUAAGCAGCUUCACCAAGGUCUUUCUUUGAAAAACUUUUAUUCAAGUAUCCUUUCAUGCUUUGCAGAAUAAUUCUACAUUAUUUCCGAUCAACAAUAUGUCAUUCACAUAUACUUAUCAGAAAUGUUGUAGUGCUCCCACUCACUUUCUUGUAAAUACAGGCUUCACCGUAAGUCUGUACAAAAACUAUAUGCUUUGAUCAACUUAUCAAAGCGUAUAUUCCAACUCCGAGAUUCUUGCACCAGUCCAUAAAUGGAUCGCUGGAGCUUGCACACUUUGUUAGCUCCCUUUGGAUCGACAAAACCUUCUGGUUGCAUCAUAUACAACUCUUCUUCCAGAAAUCCAUUCAGGAAUGCAGUUUUGACAUCCAUUUGCCAAAUUUCAUAAUCAUAAAAUGCGGCAAUUGCUAACAUGAUUCGGACGGACUUAAGCAUCGCUACGGGUGAGAAGGUCUCAUCGUAGUCAAUUCCUUGAACUUGUCGAAAACCUUUUGCGACAAGUCGAGCUUUGUAGACAGUAACAUUACCAUCAGCGUCAGUCUUCUUCUUAAAGAUCCAUUUAUUCUCAAUUGCUUGCCGAUCAUCGGGCAAGUCAACCAAAGUCCAUACUUUGUUCUCAUACAUGGAUCCCAUCUCAGAUUUCAUGGCUUCUAGCCACUUUGCGGAAUCUGGGCUCACCAUCGCUUCUUCAUAGUUCGUAGGUUCAUCAUGAUCUAGUAGCAUGACUUCCAGAACAGGAUUUCCGUACCACUCUGGCGCGGAUCUUACUCUGGUUGAUCUACGUGGUUCAGUAGUAUCUUGAUCUGAAGUUUCAUGAUCAUUAUCAUUGGCUUCCUCACUAACCGGUGUAGGUGUCACUGAAACAGUUUUCUGUGAUGAACUACUUUCCAGUAAGGGAGCAGGUACAGUUACCUCGUCAAGUUCUACUUUCCUCCCACUCACUUCUUUCGAGAGAAACUCCUUCUCUAGAAAUGAUCCAUUCUUAGCAACGAAUGUUUUGCCUUCGGAUCUGUGAUAGAAGGUGUACCCAACAGUUUCCUUUGGGUAUCCUAUGAAGACACAUUUCUCCGAUUUGGGUUCGAGCUUAUCAGUUUGAAGUUUUUUCACAUAAGCAUCGCAGCCCCAAACUUUAAGAAACGACAACUUUGGUUUCUUGCCAAACCACAGUUCAUAAGGCGUCGUGGCAGGGGGCAGGGGGCACCGCACACGGCUAAGGAAUUGAUCACGUGGAUCAACUUGUGUCAACUUGUGUGUUUAGAGGUGCCCCUGCCUCAGUAUAUAAAGGAGCCAAGGGGGGAGGGUGCGCCGGCCAGGAGGAGGAGGCGCAGGAGGAGUCCUACUCCUACCGGGAGUAGGACUCCCCUCCAAUCCUAUUCCAAUUAGGAUUCCCAAGGGGGAAAGAGGGAGAGGGGUGGCCGGCCACCUCUCCUAGUCCUAAUAGGACUAGGGGAAGGGGGGAGGCGCGCAGCCCCCUUGGGCUGCCCUUUUCUCCUUUCCACUAAGGCCCAUGAAGGCCCAUGUGGUUCCCGGGGGGUUCCGGUAACCUCCCGGUAACCCGGUAAAAUCCCGAUUUCACCCGGAACACUUCCGAUGUCCAAACAUAGGCUUCCAAUAUAUCAAUCUUUAUGUCUCGACCAUUUCGAGACUCCUCGUCAUGUCCGUGAUCACAUCCGGGACUCCGAACAACCUUCGGUACAUCAAAAUGCAUAAACUCAUAAUAUAACUGUCAUCGUAACCUUAAGCGUGCGGACCCUACGGGUUCGAGAACAAUGUAGACAUGACCGAGACAUGUCUCUGGUCAAUAACCAAUAGCGGGACCUGGAUGCCCAUAUUGGCUCCUACAUAUUCUACGAAGAUAUUUAUCGGUCAGACCGCAUAACAACAUACGUUGUUCCCUUUGUCAUCGGUAUGUUACUUGCCCGAGAUUCGAUCGUCGGUAUCCAAUACCUAGUUCAAUCUCGUUACCGGCAAGUCUCUUUACUCGUUCCGUAAUACAUCAUCUCACAACUAACAUAUUAGUUGUAAUGCUUGCAAGGCUUAUGUGAUGUGUAUUACCGAGAGGGCCCAGAGAUACCUCUCCGACAAUCGGAGUGACAAAUCCUAAUCUCGAAAUACGCCAACCCAACAUCGACCAUUGGAGACACCUGUAGUACUCCUUUAUAAUCACCCAGUUACGUUGUGACGUUUGGUAGUACCCAAAGUGUUCCUCUGGCAAACGGGAGUUGCAUAAUCUCAUAGUCAUAGGAACAUGUAUAAGUCAUGAAGAAAGCAAUAGCAACAUACUAAACGAU